AUGCCCUACGGGGCGCAGCAGUAGGGAAUCUUCCACAAUGGGCGAAAGCCUGAUGGAGCAACGCCGCGUGGGUGAAGAAGGUCUUCGGAUCGUAAAACCCUGUUGUUAGAGAAGAAAGUGCGUGAGAGUAACUGUUCACAUUUCGACGGUAUCUAACCAGAAAGCCACGGCUAACUACGUGCCCGCAGCCGCGGUAAUACGUAGGUGGCAAGCGUUAUCCGGAUUUAUUGGGCGUAAAGGGAACGCAGGCGGGUUUUUUAAGCUGUUGUGAAAAUCUUCGGCUUAACCGGGGUA
rnacentral:rRNA from 1 species